rnacentral:rRNA from 1 species
AUGGAGAGUUUGAUCCUGGCUCAGGACGAACGCUGGCGGCGUGCUUAACACAUGCAAGUCGAGCGACGCGCCUUCGGGUGACGGAGCGGCGAACGGGUGAGUAACACGUGGGCAACCUGCCCUCAGCUCUGGGACAACUCCGGGAAACCGGGGCUAAUACCGGAUACGACCUCGGAGGGCAUCUUCUGGGGUGGAAAGUUCUUCGGCUGGGGAUGGGCCCGCGGCCUAUCAGCUUGUUGGUGGGGUGAUGGCUCACCAAGGCGACGACGGGUAGCCGGCCUGAGAGGGCGACCGGCCACACUGGGACUGAGACACGGCCCAGACUCCUACGGGAGGCAGCAG